GACGAACCGUGCAAACGUUAUUCGGAAUCACUGGGCAUAAAGGGCGCGUAGGCGGCUUGACAAGUCAGGGGUGAAAUCCGGCAGCUUAACUGUCGCAGUGCCUUUGAUACUGUCGAGCUCGAGGGAGGUAGGGGUCUGUGGAACUUCCGGUGGAGCGGUGAAAUGCGUUGAUAUGCGGAGGAACACCGAUGGCGAAGGCAAUCCCCUGGGCCUGCACUGACGCUCAUGCACGAAAGCGUGGGGAGCAAACAGG
rnacentral:rRNA from 1 species